rnacentral:rRNA from 1 species
UACGUAGGGUGCAAGCGUUGUCCGGAAUUAUUGGGCGUAAAGAGCUCGUAGGCGGUGUGUCGCGUCGGUCGUGAAAACUUGGGGCUUAACCCUGAGCUUGCGGUCGAUACGGGCAUCACUGGAGUUCGGCAGGGGAGAGUGGAAUUCCUGGUGUAGCGGUGAAAUGCGCAGAUAUCAGGAAGAACACCCGUGGCGAAGGCGGCUCUCUGGGACGGUACUGACGCUGAGACGCGAAAGCGUGGGGAGCGAACAGG